AUGGCGUAAACAUCGCUAUUAUAUAUAUAUAUAUAAGAGUGCAGAAAUUGCCAAUAUUUUAUUUUUAUCGUAUCUAACUUUAAACUCAGUGGCGGAUUUAGCACUUGAGAGGCUCCAGGCGCAAUUCAAUUUUGAGGCCUCCCUCUAAUAUUUUCACUAAUCCUAAGCUCUAAAGUACGCAAGAUUUUUACUCUGGAAAAAUUAGAAGAAUUAUAGAUAAAGAAGUGAAUUAUCAGAAGAAAUAUAAACAUAAAUGAAUUUUAUUCCAUUAAAGUUCUAUCAAUUGAAUUGGCAUUGACAGCGAAGAAUAGUGAAGGGCCUAUAUAAAGAGAGAGGAACAAGUGCAUAACAACUUAGUGCAUAGCUAGAAACUAAAUUAAGACAUUUAAGAUAGGAACUGUUUGUAAGGUGACACAAGUUGGAUCUGAGUGACUGAGCAACUUGGAGAGGCUAAUGGACAAGUGCUGUAUCCCAGCCAAGCGUGUUGUUUUUGAGGGGACGUCACAGAAAGAACAACAUAGGAGUUGCUGUAACGAAGUACACACGUGUCGCAUUGAAUCUCUCCCUAGUGUUUCCCACGGCAUGAGACAUGAAGUUCCUUAAUGGAAGCACGUGUCUCUCUUUUACUUAUUUUCUACGUAAAAAGAAGAAAUUUAAAAAGAAAAAAAAAAAUAUAAAGUACAGAAAGGAAACAGAGUAACCCUCAAAACGAUGUUUGACGAAUUGAUCUCCUUUAUUUUGUUUAACCUUCUGACAAGUAAUUUAUGCUAAUAAGUCGCCGUGAGAUCACACAGAAUCGUUUCGACGAGAGGAAGAUGCCUAAUUGCUGAAGGCUACUGUAUAAGAUGAGGAAGAGAGAUGCUUACUUUAGGAGAAAAGAGAGAGAAGUGAGAAGGAGAUGUUUGCUUUAUUCUACGAGAGAGAUAGAGAAUGUGAUGCUUACUUUGAUGGAGGAGAGUUAAGGGAAAAAGAUUUUUUUCUUUAGAAGAAGAGGAAGAGGAGAAUUGUCUCGGAUGUUUAAACAGAUAAAUCACGCUAUUCGAAUGCAGUAAAGUGAAGGUAAAAAAAUUAGUUAUUGGAGACAGAUGCCACCUAUGGAAAUUUAUCUUUCGAUUACUCUGUUAAGUGGCUACAAACUGCAGGCGCCAGACAAACAAUGAAGGUCUAACACCACCCAGGUAGCAGAAUCAAAUACGGAUCUCCAACUGUUCGAACACCCCAGUUAAUGGCAACCUCCUGGAACGAACAGCUACUUCGCUGUUGGACCCCAGACUGAAUUUAUCUCAUCAUUUAAGAUAAGGUGUGCAACGUUAGAACAAACAAAGAAGAGGAAGUUGAAGCAGUUACGAAUUCAAAAAUGAUGGCAUCAGAGAAAUGCCUAUAACAGAGGAAAAGUAUAGCCAUCGUUCAAAAUAUGACUUCCCAAGAUUUUUGGACUGAAGGGACCUCGAGACGUCGAGAUAUUCAAAAAAAUUCGGGGGUAAUUUCUGUAUGUAUGAAGGCCAGUGUGUAAGGGGCACGAUUAUGUACACCUUCUUUGAAACUUAAUAACUCAUAUGUUUUUUGCCGAAAUUUUCUGAAAUUUUGCAAGGAGGUUUGUAUAUUAGGGGGAUUGAUGCUGUUAAAUUUUGACGGUUAAAAAUUGAGGGGGUGGGAAGAUAAAGAGAGUCGUGUAUAUCUCGAGUAGGUUCGGACUUAAUGACGAUUUUACUCGUUAUUAGCAUUUAGAAUUUUUUAUAAAACCAAUUCCUAUCCUCAAAAUUAACCUAAAAAUAUAAAAAGUUUUUAAUAAUAAAAUAACGCAACAGACGGCGCCACCAAACGUUGCCGGGAAAGUUAAGCAACUUGUUGCUGGAAUUUUUCAUAUUUGGUACUAUUUCCUUUCAUUAUUUUUAGAUGUAUUUACAGUUGAAGAUAGUUACAUUGUCUAAACGUAAAAACUUUCCUACUGUAAGUUAUAUAUUUCACAUCAUAUAAUUUUAUACAUUUUACUUAAAUCUACAUUUAUUUUUAAUUAUUUUUUAUUUUUAU